rnacentral:lncRNA from 1 species
ACGAAUUUCCACUUAACAUUUAGUUACUGUGCUUUAUUUCAUCUUAGGGAUAUUACACUUUCUAAAUAAUCAUAUCAAAAUAUGACUGUUGGACAGAACAUGUUUUCAGCCAUUAGAAGAAUCAGAGGCAUCUGACAAAGAGAAAUGAAACCUUGAGCAUUUUAACACAUGUUCACAAAGAGAGCACAGGACAUUUCCUCAUGCCUGCAGAAGCACAGCGUGAUGAAAGGGUGGAAAGAAACGUGGAGGACAAAAUGAAACUAGCUCUUAUGUAAUGAUAAGCGGCUUUAUUGAAGUGUUUUGUACCACUAUCCGUUUUAAGAUUGAUACCUUUAGGAUACCCUCAAUGCUGCUGUUCG